rnacentral:rRNA from 1 species
CCUACGGGGGGCUGCAGUAGGGAAUCUUCGGCAAUGGACGGAAGUCUGACCGAGCAACGCCGCGUGAGUGAAGAAGGUUUUCGGAUCGUAAAGCUCUGUUGUAAGAGAAGAACGAGUGUGAGAGUGGAAAGUUCACACUGUGACGGUAUCUUACCAGAAAGGGACGGCUAACUACGUGCCAGCAGCCGCGGUAAUACGUAGGUCCCGAGCGUUGUCCGGAUUUAUUGGGCGUAAAGCGAGCGCAGGCGGUUAGAUAAGUCUGAAGUUAAAGGCUGUGGCUUAACCAUAGUACGCUUUGGAAACUGUUUAACUUGAGUGCAAGAGGGGAGAGUGGAAUUCCAUGUGUAGCGGUGAAAUGCGUAGAUAUAUGGAGGAACACCGGUGGCGAAAGCGGCUCUCUGGUCUGUAACUGACGCUGAGGCUCGAAAGCGUGGGGAGCGAACAGGAUUAGAUACCCUAGUAGU